rnacentral:tRNA from 1 species
GCCUAGUUAGCUUAGUUGGUGCGCGUCUGCCUUGUAAGCGCUAGGCCGCGGGUUCGAUUCCCGCCCGGGGCG